rnacentral:rRNA from 1 species
CCUACGUGAGGCAGCAGUAGGGAAUCUUCCACAAUGGACGAAAGUCUGAUGGAGCAACGCCGCGUGAGUGAAGAAGGGUUUCGGCUCGUAAAGCUCUGUUGGUAGUGAAGAAAGAUAGAGGUAGUAACUGGCCUUUAUUUGACGGUAAUUACUUAGAAAGUCACGGCUAACUACGUGCCAGCAGCCGCGGUAAUACGUAGGUGGCAAGCGUUGUCCGGAUUUAUUGGGCGUAAAGCGAGUGCAGGCGGUUCAAUACGUCUGAUGUGAAAGCCGUCGGCUCAACCGGAGAAUUGCAUCAGAAACUGUUGAACUGGAGUGCAGAAGAGGAGAGUGGAACUCCAUGUGUAGCGGUGGAAUGCGUAGAUAUAUGGAAGAACACCAGUGGCGAAGGCGGCUCUCUGGUCUGCAACUGACGCUGAGGCUCGAAAGCAUGGGUAGCGAACAGGAUUAGAUACCCGAGUAGUC